rnacentral:ncRNA from 2 species
CUGUUAUCACGAAAGCUGGAGAGAUUAGACUCGAUGAAAGCUUAGCAACCCUACAACUGUAGAAGGUGCUACAUUCUAUUCCGAUUUAUCGGAAACAGAUAACCC